GUGAAUCAUCGAAUCUUUGAACGCACCUUGCGCUCCUUGGUAUUCCGAGGAGCAUGCCUGUUUGAGUGUCAUGAAACUCUCAACCUCUGACUUUCUUAAUCGUCGGUCAGCGGCUUGGAUGUGGGCGCUGCCGGUCUUAAUUGAUCGGCUCGCCUGAAAAACAUUAGCGAAUCCCUUCUGUAAUCGGUUCCACUCGACGUGAUAAGUAUUUCGUCGAGGACAUCUUUAUUGAUGGCCGAGAUAAAGCUGGUUUAAGAUCUGCUUCUAACUCUUUCGUUGCCUUCUGGUAAAGAAAACCCC
rnacentral:misc_RNA from 1 species